UCAGGUAGGCAACCGGUUAAGAUUCAGGUAGGCAACCGGUUAAGAUUCAGGUAGGCAACCGGUUAAGAUUCAGGUAGGCAACCGGUUAAGAUUCAGGUAGGCAACCGGUUAAGAUUCAGGUAGGCAACCGGUUAAGAUUCAGGUAGGCAACCGGUUAAGAUUCAGGUAGGCAACCGGUUAAGAUUCAGGUAGGCAACCGGUUAAGAUUCAGGUAGGCAACCGGUUAAGAUUCAGGUAGGCAACCGGUUAAGAUUCAGGUAGGCAACCGGUUAAGAUUCAGGUAGGCAACCGGUUAAGAUUCAGGUAGGCAACCGGUUAAGAUUCAGGUAGGCAACCGGUUAAGAUUCAGGUAGGCAACCGGUUAAGAUUCAGGUAGGCAACCGGUUAAGAUUCAGGUAGGCAACCGGUUAAGAUUCAGGUAGGCAACCGGUUAAGA